rnacentral:rRNA from 1 species
AGGGUUUGAUUAUGGCUCAGGAUGAACGCUAGCGACAGGCUUAACACAUGCAAGUCGAGGGGCAGCGCGGGGGUGGCAACACUCCCGGCGGCGACCGGCGCACGGGUGAGUAACACGUAUGCAACCUGCCCUCCACAGGGGGAUAAUCGGGAGAAAUCCCGUCUAAUACCGCAUGACGCCGCAGACGGGCAUCCGUCGGCGGCCAAAGGAGCGAUCCGGUGGAGGCUGGGCAUGCGCCGCAUUAGCCAGUUGGCGGGGUAACGGCCCACCAAGGCGACGAUGCGUAGGGGUUCUGAGAGGAAGGUCCCCCACACUGGUACUGAGACACGGACCAG